rnacentral:rRNA from 1 species
GUAUCCUACGGGGGGCAGCAGUGGGGAAUAUUGCACAAUGGGGGAACCCUGAUGCAGCGACGCCGCGUGAAGGAAGAAGUAUCUCGGUAUGUAAACUUCUAUCAGCAGGGAAGAAAAUGACGGUACCUGACUAAGAAGCCCCGGCUAACUACGUGCCAGCAGCCGCGGUAAUACGUAGGGGGCAAGCGUUAUCCGGAUUUACUGGGUGUAAAGGGAGCGUAGACGGAAGAGCAAGUCUGAUGUGAAAGGCUGGGGCUUAACCCCAGGACUGCAUUGGAAACUGUUUUUCUAGAGUGCCGGAGAGG